rnacentral:tRNA from 1 species
UCCCUGGUGGCUCAGACGGUAAACCGUCUGCCUGGAAUGCAGGAGACCCAGGUUUGAUUCCUGGGUCGGGAA